rnacentral:rRNA from 1 species
UGGGGAAUAUUGCACAAUGGGCGCAAGCCUGAUGCAGCCAUGCCGCGUGUGUGAAGAAGGCCUUCGGGUUGUAAAGCACUUUCAGCGAGGAGGAAGGUGGUGAACUUAAUACGUUCAUCAAUUGACGUUACUCGCAGAAGAAGCACCGGCUAACUCCGUGCCAGCAGCCGCGGUAAUACGGAGGGUGCAAGCGUUAAUCGGAAUUACUGGGCGUAAAGCGCACGCAGGCGGUUUGUUAAGUCAGAUGUGAAAUCCCCGGGCUCAACCUGGGAACUGCAUUUGAAACUGGCAAGCUAGAGUCUCGUAGAGGGGGGUAGAAUUCCAGGUGUAGCGGUGAAAUGCGUAGAGAUCUGGAGGAAUACCGGUGGCGAAGGCGGCCCCCCUGGACGAAGACUGACGCUCAGGUGCGAAAGCGUGGGGAGCAAACAGAUUAGAUACCCUGGUAGUCCAGCGCUGUAAAACGAUGUCGAUUUGGAGGUUGUGCCCUUGAGGCGUGGCUUCCGGAGCUAACGCGUUAAAUCGACCGCCNGGGGAGUACGGCCGCAAGGUUAAAACUCAAAUGAAUUGAC